GCUCUGCUUACGCAAAACGGGCUCUGGUGCUUGACUGGACUUGUCCAUAAUAACUCCUGUGUUAGUAAUGCUGGUGCCUUCAGCCAGGGAGAUGCACGGGGCUCAACUGUCCUGCUUUGUUUGUGCUGUAAGAAAUCCUGAUUCCCAAGGAAAGCAGCCUGGACACCCCCUGACUCAGACGUGGAUGGGAAGGCUGUGCCGUCCUGAGUGUGCAGAAGUGGAGUGCAUGAUAUAAUUUGGAAAUUGAUUAAAGAAUCUCCAUAGAAUUCAAUAUGGCAUCACAGCAGUCAUCUGCAUCGACAGAGGAGCAGGCUUCCUCUGAAAUAGAUGAUCUCCAUCUAACGCUGCAAGUCCAGCGAGAGUUUACACAGAAGAAAACCUUUACUAGUUGGAUAAAUUCAAUAUUGGCAAAG